rnacentral:lncRNA from 1 species
AGAGAGUCUAUAUUAUUAGAGAUUAGAGAAAAGAUACAAAAAUACAUGUAGAGGAGGAGGAUUACAUCCACUCUACUCAACUCAUCAACUCUCUUGCUGCACUUGCAGCUGCUGCAAUGGCAGCAAGGCUGCUGCCAUUGCAGCUCACUUUCUCUCCACUCUCUUGCACACACUCACGUUCUCUCUCUAUUUUGCUCUCAAAUAAUUGCCUCUUUUAUAGGCAAACAUGGCAACCUUCUCCAGCACUCUUGUCAAAUAAGGUGGGACAAGCAAGCCUUAAAGUAUGCCACCAUUUGUGGCAUUAAUGGAGCAACCACUUGCUUAGUGGUGGG